GAAACCAUUGUGCAUAGUGCGCCAUCUAUAAGAACUCGAAACUGCACAUAAGAAUCCAAUAUUAUUUAUAUUGUUUCACAUGCAAACAUUUUGAGUAACAACAUCAUCCAACACCAACGAAUUGAUUGCUGUAGCAUUAGUUUCGGGAUUAUUCAGUGAACCUGGUGCACCUUUCCUGAGGUGUAUUUCAAUUUCAAGCAAACAAGAAUGAUCAUUCUUCGUAGUUUUCAAAACAUACAUUCCCUUGUGAUACUAGGUGGUAUAAUCCUGUGUCUAAUUUUGAUGCUUCAACUCAAACAGAUGUAUGACAACAAUCAAAAGUACAACAGAUAUAUAGGGUAUAAACAAUAUAUAGAAGAAAUCUCUGCAGAAAUGAAUAUGGUUGAGAGAUCUGCGAACAAGUCCUCUGCUUUUGUUCAUCAACUUAAUGAAGUUCUACAUAAGCAUCGAGACAGAGAAAUAAGAAAUGCAUCGCUGCAUCAUACAAAUUAAUUUGACAUAUUUUUAUUAAUCAAUCAACGACUGGUGAAAGUCAAAGGAUAAACUGUAAUCUUAUGUGAUGAUAACUGUAUAUUAAUAUGUAACAUAUAAUCU